GCAAACUUGGUCAUUUAGAGGAAGUAAAAGUCGUAACAAGGUCUCCGUUGGUGAACCAGCGGAGGGAUCAUUACCGAGUUUACAACUCCCAAACCCCUGUGAACAUACCUUAUUGUUGCCUCGGCGGAUCAGCCCGCUCCCCGUAAAACGGGACGGCCCGCCAGAGGACCCAAACUCUAUUGUAUUUAGUGUAUCUUCUGAGUAACACAAACAAAUAAAUCAAAACUUUCAACAACGGAUCUCUUGGUUCUGGCAUCGAUGAAGAACGCAGC
rnacentral:misc_RNA from 1 species